ensembl:lncRNA
AAGGACUGGGGCCAGAGCGCAAUGUGAAGGCCCUGGGUUCAAUCCCCAGUAGCAAAAAAAAAAAAAAAAAAAAAAAGACAUGAAGCAUGGAUUUAGGCCGCAAUCCAGCCUUCUUCUGGGUAUAGAACCAAAAGAAUUGCAAGCAGGAACUCGAAGAGACGUUGCACACCCACGUUGAGGCAGCAUGAUUCACAGCAGCAGGAAGGUGGAGGAACCCACGCACCUGGGACGGAGCAGCCCCGGGUGCAGCAAAUGGAAGGUGCAGCGGAAGGAAGGGAUUGCGGUACAGACGUGCUGCCACAGGCGUGGACGCUAGGUGACCUCAGCCAGUGGCGGAAGGACAAAUACACUUCCGGCCCUUUCCAGGCGCCUGGAGGAGUCGAGUCCCAGGCACUGACAGGCAGCGCGGGGUAACCGGGCCAGCGUGGUCAGGGCGUCAGUGUGCAGCAGACGGCAGCCAGGGCUACACAGCAGCGUGAGAGUGCUUUACACUCAUCUGCGCGCCAGCCCGAAAGCACUCCAUCCGCAGAUGGUCGCUGUGAACAAAUCAGACACCAAACAGCGCUUUGAGGCCCAACAAGCAUGAGAUCAAAUAUGACAGCCGUGGGCACACCGAAGGAGAGAAGCCUCAACCCACCAAGCUGCUUCUUCAAAUAAGGGAUUGAACUCUGGACCUUACACUUGUGAGGCAGGCGUCGGAACCACUGCCCUUGCAUUAAACUUCUUACCUUGGGGCACAGCCCACCCUGGCCACCAGCACCUUGGAACUGCUGAGGCAGCAAAGGUGACUCAGACGGGAGUGGAAACUGCACGCUGCUCUGGAAUCCCCGCCUGGGGAGCCCCAGACCCCAUGGGGCAGGAGGGAGCUGCAGGGCCAGGAAAAGGGAAUCGGGGCGCCCUGGAGUCCCUUCCUCCCCAAGAUGCCUCCUGUCUCCAAGUGGGUCUGGGAAGUCACCCGGGGCACCCCCAGACCUCACCGUGACAACACCCACCCGGCUUCUCUCCCGCUUCCCUGAGCUGGGGGCCUGUGUUGUGUGGGUCCCUCUGCCCACGGGCUCAUCUGUCCCUUUUCCGGGGUUCCACCCUGCUAAGCCCUGCUGAGAUCGCGGUGGCCCCGAUUCCCUCAUCAGACCCCAGCGCUUCCCAUGCAUCACCCAAAGCCACAAAUGAAACGGCUCAGAAUCAGCAGGUGGCUCCGGGGAGCCAGAACUGAACCCGGGAUCGUCGGGCUGGGGGCAGGAAUGGGCAGGGUCCUCUCCGCCUCCCCCACCGCGGCCUCCUACGUGGUCAGUUUGGCUCCGCAGGAUUCAGCUGUCCCCUCUCAUCACUGAGAUUUUUCUGGCUCUCAACCGGGCUUCCACUGGGCCGGGCCGGACCCGCCGGGAGCUAACCCUAACCUCCUCUGUGGCCCACCUGCCCCGUCAAUCUGAUUCCCGCCGCAUGGACUGUCAAUCACAGCGCGGACCGCCCCGUAUCAACGGCAGCCAAUCAGCGCCUCCGCCACGCCCCCACCCCACCCCCGCGCCUUGGACCCGCGGCUCCACCUUUGUCAUUGCUGCUCAGCAAGGCUGCUCUUCCUCGGUUUCCCCUCUGAAAAAUGGAAACGUAGGGAUGGCCGUGGUGGCACGUGCCUGUAAUCUCAGCAUUGUAGGAGGCUGAGGCAGGAGGAUGCAAACUGGAGCCCAGCCUAGACAAGUUACAGUAAUUUACCAAGACCUACUCUCAGAAUAAAAAAGGCUGGGAUGUGGCAGGGAUUCUACCCCGUGCCUACUCCUGCGAGUUCCCCUAGGUGUCCUGGCUAGGUCAGGCCCUGCCUACCUGCACGCACCCUCCCCAGGCUCGUCCCUCCAGGGACCCCAGCCUGCGGUUGGUGAGUGGCCCUUCCAGUCAGGGAAAGUGGAGGGGCUCUGGCCAAGAAUCACCUGUGGUGGCCCAUGAACACCUGUAAUCCCAGCACUGAGAGGAUGAGGCAGGAGGAUCCCAAAUUUAAGCCAAGCCCAGCCCGAGCAACUAGCGAUUUAGGAGACCCUGUCUCGAAAUCUGAAAAAAUAAAUAAAAGGCUGUGGGCUGGGGAUAUAGCUUGGUGGUAAGACCCUGGGUUCAAUCCCCAUGUCCCACUCCCCUAAAAUAAAAAAGCAACUCUGCCAACAGAGCAACAGC